rnacentral:lncRNA from 1 species
CUUCUUCUUCAAAUAUUCUUCAACUCCACCAUGUCCAUCUUCUUCCUUCAAUUCAUCCAAUUUCUUCCAUAAAGCAGUUCACUAUCAAAUGCACUUCCAAUUCAUUACCUGAAUCUUCUUCAGACCCAGAAUUCCUGACCCCAAAUUCAGAAACAACAAUUAGCCCAGAAAAAUUCCCAAUAGAAAAACGUCGAAAAUCCGAGAUAAUCCGUGAGAGAAAAUCAAGAACUGAGCUCAUAAAGCAAGACCCACCAAAUUUCGAAAUUGGGUGGAAGAGAACAAAGCCAAUUCCAUUAGAUAAGCCAAUUGGGUAUGUGAUAAUGGAUUUUUUGGAGAAAUUGGAAGAGCUAAUGGCUAGGGAUUUUGGGUCGACGGCGUUGUUAGCGAAAGUGGGAG